rnacentral:rRNA from 1 species
CUGGAACCUCUCGGGGUUACAGCCUUGCUGAAUUAUUCACCCUUGUCUUUUGCGUACUUCUUGUUUCCUUGGUGGGUUCGCCCACCACUAGGACAAACAUAAACCUUUUGUAAUUGCAAUCAGCGUCAGUAACAAAUUAAUAAUUACAACUUUCAACAACGGAUCUCUUGGUUCUGGCAUCGAUGAAGAACGCAGCGAAAUGCGAUAAGUAGUGUGAAUUGCAGAAUUCAGUGAAUCAUCGAAUCUUUGAACGCACAUUGCGCCCUUUGGUAUUCCAAAGGGCAUGCCUGUUCGAGCGUCAUUUGUACCCUCAAGCUUUGCUUGGUGUUGGGCGUCUUGUCUCUAGCUUUGCUGGAGACUCGCCUUAAAGUAAUUGGCAGCCGGCCUACUGGUUUCGGAGCGCAGCACAAGUCGCACUCUCUAUCAGCAAAGGUCUAGCAUCCAUUAAGCCUUUUUUUCAACUUUUGACCUCGGAUCAGGUAGGGAUACCCGCUGAACUUAAGCAUAUCAAAAGGCCGGGAGGAAGA